CUUGAAUCCGUAGAACAAACGUGAAGUGAAUCCAGCACGGCAAAGAUACCGAACAGUUAUGAAUUUCUCCACUCAAGUUUAUUUUGUCAUUGCACUUUUCGUGGUGCUCCAGUUUCAUUCAAGCCACUGCGAACACAUAGCUGAAGAUGUAGGGG